rnacentral:rRNA from 1 species
UACAGAGGUCCCAAGCGUUGUUCGGAUUCAUUGGGCGUAAAGGGUGUGUAGGUGGCGCCGUAAGUCGGGUGUGAAAUUUCGGAGCUUAACUCCGAAACUGCAUUCGAUACUGCGGUGCUUGAGGACUGGAGAGGAGACUGGAAUUCAUGGUGUAGCAGUGAAAUGCGUAGAGAUCAUGAGGAAGACCAGUGGCGAAGGCGGGUCGUCUGGACAGUUCCUGACACUGAGACACGAAGGCCAGGGGAGCAAACGGG